rnacentral:rRNA from 1 species
GCUGGCGGCGUGCCUAACACAUGCAAGUCGAACGAGAAAGUGGAGCAAUCCAUGAGUACAGUGGCGACCGGGUGAGUAACACGUGACUACCUACCCUUGAGUGGGGGAUAACCUCGGGAAACCGAGGCUAAUACCGCAUAAUAUCGAAAGAUCAAAGGAGAAAUCCGCUUUUGGAGGGGGUCGCGGCUGAUUAGCUAGUUGGUAGGGUAAUGGCCUACCAAGGCGAAGAUCGGUAUCCGGCCUGAGAGGGCGCACGGACACACUGGAACUGAAACACGGUCCAGACUCCUACGGGAGGCAGCAGUGGGGAAUUUUGCGCAAUGGGGGAAACCCUGACGCAGCAACGCCGCGUGGAGGAUGAAGCCCCUUGGGGUGUAAACUCCUUUCGACCGGGAAAAUAAUGAUGGUACCGGUGGAAGAAGCACCGGCUAACUCUGUGCCAGCAGCCGCGGUAAUACAGAGGGUGCGAGCGUUGUUCGGAAUUAUUGGGCGUAAAGGGCGCGUAGGCGGUGUUGUAAGUCACCUGUGAAACCUCUGGGCUUAACUC